rnacentral:rRNA from 1 species
GAUGAACGCUAGCGGCAGGCUUAAUACAUGCAAGUCGUGGGGCAGCAGGGGUGUAGCAAUACAUCUGCUGGCGACCGGCAAACGGGUGCGUAACACGUACGCAACCUUCCCGUUACUGUGGCAUAGCCCAGGGAAACUUGGAUUAAUACCACAUAUUAUAUAGAGAGGGCAUCCUUUUUAUAUCAAAGCUUCGGCGGUAACGGAUGGGCGUGCGGCUGAUUAGGUAGUUGGCGGGGUAACGGCCCACCAAGCCUACGAUCAAUAGCUGAUGUGAGAGCAUGAUCAGCCACACGGGAACUGAGACACGGGCCCGACUCCUACGGGAGGCAGCAGUAAGGAAUAUUGGGCAAUGGACGAAAGUCUGACCCAGCCAUGCCGCGUGAAGGAUUAAGGUCCUCUGGAUUGUAAACUUCUUUUCUCUGGGGCGAAAACCAGCUAUUCUUAGCUAUUUGACAGUACCAGAGGAAUAAGCACCGGCUAACUCCGUGCCAGCAGCCGCCGUAAAAC